UACGUAGGGUGCGCGCGUUGUCCGGAAUUAUUGGGCGUAAAGAGCUCGUAGGCGGUUUGUUGCGUCGGCCGUGAAAACUUGGGGCUUAACCCCGAGCCUGCGGUCGAUACGGGCAGACUUGAGUUCGGCAGGGGAGACUGGAAUUCCUGGUGUAGCGGUGAAAUGCGCAGAUAUCAGGAGGAACACCGGUGGCGAAGGCGGGUCUCUGGGCCGAUACUGACGCUGAGGAGCGAAAGCGUGGGGAGCGAACAGG
rnacentral:rRNA from 1 species